rnacentral:rRNA from 1 species
CAGCAGCCGCGGGAAAACGUAGGUGGCAAGCGUUGUCCGGAAUUAUUGGGCGUAAAGGGAGCGUAGGCGGAUCGUUAAGUUGGGGGUGAAAGCCCGGGGCUCAACCUCGGAACUGCCUUCAAUACUGGCGAUCUUGAGUAUGAGAGAGGUGUGUGGAACUCCGAGUGUAGAGGUGAAAUUCGUAGAUAUUCGGAAGAACACCAGUGGCGAAGGCGACACACUGGCUCAUUACUGACGCUGAGGCUCGAAAGCGUGGGGAGCAAACAGGAUUAGAUACCCCCGUAGUCCCUGUCUCUUAUAC